rnacentral:rRNA from 1 species
CCUACGGGAGGCAGCAGUGAGGAAUAUUGGUCAAUGGGAGAGAUCCUGAACCAGCCAAGCCGCGUGAGGGAAGACGGCCCUAUGGGUUGUAAACCUCUUUUGUCGGAGAACAAAACCCGGGACGAGUCCCGGACUGCGUGUAUCCGAAGAAAAAGCAUCGGCUAACUCCGUGCCAGCAGCCGCGGUAAUACGGAGGAUGCGAGCGUUAUCCGGAUUUAUUGGGUUUAAAGGGUGCGUAGGCGGUCUGUUAAGCCAGCGGUAAAAGUGCGGGGCUCAACCCCGUCGAGCCGUUGAAACUGGCAGACUUGAGUUGGCGAGAAGUACGCGGAAUGCGCGGUGUAGCGGUGAAAUGCAUAGAUAUCGCGCAGAACUCCGAUUGCGAAGGCAGCGUACCGGCGCCAGACUGACGCUGAGGCACGAAAGCGUGGGGAUCGAACAGGAUUAGAUACCCUAGUAGUC